rnacentral:lncRNA from 1 species
AUUAAAGCAGAUAUAACAAUUAAAAUUUCAUGUCUUAAAUAUAAAAGCCUUCUUUACAAAUCAUUUAAAAAUAAAAUUGUCAAACACAUGAGGAAACAACACAAACAAGUAAAUCAAAACAGAAGAAAUAUAAAUGUGCAUGCAGAGUGGUUUAUUGAGGCGUUCUUACAGGAACAUUGUCUGUAAAGGAAGAAUGAGAAGGAAGACAGAAAAGCAAAACUUUGAAGCAGUUGCAUCAGAGACUUCAGAGCAUCCUUAAAGUUGGACUGGCCCUUCAAAGGUGUCCAGGAUUAAGUAAAGCUGGGCUUUUGUACCACUGCACCAACCAAUCAAUAAAUGUGGGUGUCCCAGAGAAAGACUGCCACCUUGAGUGAGGCAGCUCCCCCAAAAUAUCUGUGUUUGCUAAAAUGCAGAUUCCCAAUCCCCUAAUCAAAUAUAUCUGAUGAGGCUUCAAUGCCUGAAUUAUUUUUAAAAUGCCUGAAGUUAUUCUCAUGUUCAGCAAAUGCAGGAAUCACUAGUCUAACAGAGACGAAAUCCAUUCAUUUUUCUAUGUAUUCCAGGGUCUAUCUUUGAUUCAAAACAAAGCUUUAGUAGCUGUACCUGGAUAUCAGUAGCUUGCUUAACUUCUUGUAAAAGCAUCAGUCUUAAUUUAUGUUUUAAUAGAUCAACUCAGUUCUUAUUAAAGGCUGGUAUAUUUGGCUAUUUGAAAAACAACUUUGCUAUUGUCCAUGUUAUUGGCAUUGUCCUAAUUAUGUUAUUCACUGUUUCUUAUUAAAUGGCCCAUGGGAUAAAUUUUAAUUUUCUAUUUUAAGUUUUUCUAUUUUAAUUAGUGAAAAUAAGCUCCUCUUUCAGAACUGUUUCUUUUUAUCAACUAGUAGGAAAUAUAUAAUCAUUUUUCCUUGACUGAAAAUAAACUCAACAAAAUUGCUUAUAAGUCUAAAUUUUAGUGAAUUUGCUGCUACUCUUCCUGUACUUCCUCUUCCAUAAGUCUCGCUGUAAGCAAUCCUUGAGUAUUUUGACUUUGCAUUUUUAUUUUAGCAUCAUUAAGUUAUACGUGCCGUGCCAGUUAUCAGUGCAUUUCCUCUCACAUCCAAACUAACCGUUUAUUACAGCUCUGUGAUAAUGGAUGAAAUUCCCUUAAGUAUUAAUCCUUUACAGUGAGAAUGAUGUUUAAUAUUCUCAUUAGAGGAUGCUUGAGGGACAUUGCAGGAAGCAAGGAUUCUCCUGCUGUUUCCUGCUGCUACAUGAUGGGUUAGUAAGAUAUAUGGGGGUGGUCUGCCCCAGGCCCUCUUCCCAGAAUGCACUAUCCCCUGGCAAUCUUGCAGUCGUGGACCAGGCUGGCUAUCACCUCCCCGUGGUUCUUCUGACGGAUACUUCUCCAAGACUCUUGCCACAACAGCACCCCUACUCCCUCUUCAUGCCCUCACACCUGGCCACCUACUUGCCUAUGUGCUUUCUCUGCCUUGAAGACUUGCUACUGGGGUCACUUUUCUGCACACCUGCCCAUCUGGCCACUAUCUGUGGUUCCCCUCACAGAUAGCUCAUGUUCCAGUGACCCCCAACCCUAUCUGCAGGCUUAUGCAUGUAGCCACCAGCUGGAGCUCACCUAUAUUCUGCCUCUAUUCUGGAUAUUUGGUUUCUACUUGCCCAAUGACCACAGACCAGCUCUUGUCCAGGCAACUAGUGAACUUCUCUGGCAUCCAGUGGAUUGCUACUAUACCUUUUUUAAUGAAGUCUAAACCCCAGCCUUGGGAAGGGGCACCUCAUUGCAGUUUGUCUCCCUUGAGUACCUUGCCUCAGCCCUAGAAUACCAUACAGAGUUUUCUUAAAUUUUAUAAUUACUUUUUUAUCAGAGUUUAGUAAUUCUGUAUAUUAAAUUUCCUCUAUUUAAAUCAUUGUAUGGUUUCUGUCUCCUGAUUGGACCCAGGCUGAGACUCAGACAUUUUGGGAUAAUCUAAAACUUGUAGUAAGCUUCUACUUGGUAUUGAGAUAGAUGGCAUAUAAAGUUUCUGAGGGAAAAUAAUUUUAUGGAAAUAAUUUUUAAUUACAUAAUCUAUUCAAUGUAUUUACAUUUUGAAUAAAGAGUAUUAUUUUUUAAAUAAAGGAGAAUUCACUAUAUCCCUAAAUAUGCAAAUAGACUUGGUAUCAGAAGGUCACUUAUUGGUUAAAAUUGGCAGAAACAGCACUAGGAAGGGUAAUUCCUAAAUUCAGAGAAAUAUUAGAAAAUAGCAUCCCCCUUUUAUAGUGCCCAUAAAUAUAAAAUGGUAAUGGAAUCAAAAUAGUCUCUCUUUAGUUAUAACUUUUUUAGGGCAGAGCCGAGCCUCUAGCUUUCCAAUUGCUUUCUCCCCACAAUUAUUAAACCUGACAUAGAAAGAAUUCACUUCGUUUUAAUUUAUUUUCUUGUGGUCAAAGAAGAAUAUUUGGCAGCAGGGGUUUCGUAGUUGACUUUUCUCAGGCUCAACUAAACUUUAGCACCAGAUUCACAUUCCAAAUAACCUAUACAUUUUUUACUCCUGGUGUAAUUAUUCAGCACCACUGUGGGUGAACUUCUGAAGGAAAUAUAUGAACUAGUUAGUCAUAGUGUAAAGAAAAACAUUUAACUUAAAGCAAGGAGACAAACGCAACUGCUGUGUCUUUUAGGGAUAGGAGCAAUCAUUUCAGGAAAGAAAGUUCUCUCGAUGUUGAUAGUGCAAAAGUAAUGUGGUGAUGGAAAUAGACUGAGGAAUAGAGGGGGAAACAGAAUUUUAAAAAGUACAGAAGCAGUAAUUGCCUCAUCUUGCACAGGAGAAAUUUAAGUUGUAAACUCAAGUUGUAAACAGGCAAAAAAAACCACAGAAGUUCCUUCUCUGGAGCAACUGGACAGCAACAAAGAAGACACCUAUAAACAUCAGUAUUUGGAUAUUCAUUGUCCUAUACUUGUCAUGAGAUAGGACAACCAAAAACUCAAUGGCUCAGAGCAGGUAGAACUUUAUUUUUCUUUCAAAAACAGUUCGGAGGCAAAAACCCAGUCAGGAUGGAAGGCAGUACUGCUCAACAUGGUCAACUAGGGACUAGGGCCUUUUCUCCUUGUUGCUUUAAUAUCCCCUAGGAUGCUGUCCUUCUCAAAAAGGCAGAAGCUGGCUCUCAGGCACCCUAUCAGCAUUUCAGCCCUCAAGAGUAUGGAAGAGGAAGAGGAGAGCAAGAAGCUUCCUUUUUAAGAAGGCUUUUUCCACAACCAUCGAAGGCUACUCUGAUUUGCAAUUAGCAGGAUAAACUGAAGAUAACACCUUGCAGAAGCAGAUCUCAAUUAACAACUGAUGGAAAAAAGAGGAAACUGAAGAGGCCAAAAGAAAGGGAACACACAAUGAGGAAGAAGGAGAAAGUUGGACCCAUUCCAAGAAUCAUGCAAGCCAUUCUGCUGGAUGUGAAGUGGUAUCUGAUUGUUACUAGAAGGCUAUCCUUACAAGAAAUGCUAAAGGAAAUUGUUCAGACUGAAAGCAAUUGACACCAGACGGUAAUUUGAAUCCACACAGUAAAACAAUGAGCAUCAGCAGAGGUCAUUAUGUCAGUAAUUUGAACCACAGUAUAAUAUAUAUUACUACUCCUUCCUUCUCUUAGCUGAUUUAAACAGCAAUUGCAUAAAACAAUAUGUAUAUAAUUGCAUUAUUAAGCCUAUAACAUACAGAAAUGCAAUAUAUUUGACAAUAACAUCACAAGAAAGGUAGGAGGGAACAAAGCUGUAUUAUAGUACAGAAAUGACACCAGAUGGUAACUUGAAUCUACAGGAAGAAAUAAAGAGCGCCAGAAAUGAAGAAUAAGAAGAUUAACAUAAUAAACUCUCUAAAUAUAUACUUGCCCUCCUUUCUUCUCUCAGCUACUAUAAAAGACAUGAAACAUGAAAUUAUAUAAAACAAUAAUUAUAAAAAUUUAUUGUGCAGUUUGUAAUAUAUGUAAGUGCAAAAUAUGUUGUUGGAUUCUUGGUUGAGGUUUUUAUCUUUCUGCACUUUGAAUGUGUCAUCUAGCUGCUUUCUAGCCUCCAUUCUUUCUGAUAAGGAAUCAGAUGUUAAUCUUACUGGGGUUACAUUGUACAUGAUGCGUUGCUCUUCUCUUGCUGCUUUCAAGAUUUUCUCUUCAUUCUUGGUUUUCAACAUUUUGAUUAUAAUGUCUCAAGGUCUAGACCUUUUUGCAAUAUCCUACUUGAGUUCAACAAGCUUCUUGGAUAUGUAGAUUAAUGUGUUGUUUUGUUCUUUUGUUUGGGUUUUUUUUUUUUUUGGUCAAAUUUGUGAUAUUUUCAGCCAUUUUUCCUUUGUAUAGGUUUUUAUCUCCUUUCUCUUUCUCUCAUCUUUCUGGGACUCUCAUUAUACAUAUGUUGGUACACUUAAUGGUGUCCCACAUUUCUCUGAUGCCAUUUAUUUUUCCUCAUUCUUUUCAUCUCUGUGCUUCAAAUUGCAUAAUCUCAAUUUAUCUUCAAAUUCACUGAUUCUUUUUCCAACUCAAAUCUACUGUUGAGUUCCUCUUUUGAAUUUUUCAUUUUACUUACUGUGUUUUUCAACUCUAGAAUUUCCAUUUCUUUUUAAAAUAAUUUCUAUCUUUAUCAAUAUUUUCUAUUUGAUAAAACUGUCAUAAUACAUUUACUUAAUUCUUUAAAUAUUGUUUCCUUUAGUUCUUGGGACAUAUUUAUAAUAGCUGCUUUGUGAUUCUUUGAACUUUCCUGCUAAGUCCAUUCUCUGGGCUCCCUCAAAAACAGUUUCUAUUGUUGGCUUUUUCCCUUUACAUGGGUCACUCUUUCCUGUUUCUUUGCACAUCUGACAAUUUUUUUUUUGAAAACAGAACAUGUUAGAUAAUACAUUGCAGCAACUUUGGAUAUUGAUUCUCCCUUACCACCUUUGGGAUCUGUUGUUGUUUCCUCAUUUUCUUGUUUGUUUAGUGACAUAAUUGGACUAGUUCAGUUAAGUCUGUUUCCUUCAAAGUGUGCAACAUCUAACAGCAUGCCUCAGACAGCACAGACUUGGGCAUGUACACAGUCUUUUUAACUGCCAGAGAUAACUGUGGUUUUCUCUUUGACUGUCUCUUUCUCAUUGAGACUUUGGGUGGUCUACCUCUGUUGGUAUUACAUACAACCAUUGGCCUCCAGCAAUCUUUAUCUGAUUGUUCUACUUUUUUCAGCAACUCCCUGGGGCAUAAUAUGCUUCACAGUCUAAUCCAAUUAAAGUUCCUUGAAAGGGGCAGAGUGUUUACAGUCUUUGAAGCUUGCUCCAAAUCUGCCCUGGAAGAAUGUCUGUCCUAUAGAUCAGGAGCUGGGGGAAAUUAGAAAACUCAUUCUUUCCCAGGCACUGCACUAGAGUUCUUCUUAUGGUGUAGGAGCUGUGAGAAGAGAAAAGGGGGAAGUAGGAACUGGCACUGCCACCCAGCUGCGCCCACCACCAAGUACACAUAUUCCACAGCGCAGAGCUGGGGAGAAUAAUAACUGCCAAUAUUCAUAGCUGUCAACCUACCCAUAAUAGUUCUUCCAUUCUAGGAAGCUGGGGAAGAUGGGAGAUGCCACUUGGCUGCUGAGCCAACUGGAAUAGUUCUCGUGCAACAUAGAGCCAUGAAAAAGGGGGGACUGACUUCUUACCAGCUGCCCCACUUAGAUCCUCCCCAUAUAAUCGGAGUUGGGGGUGAAGGAACAGACACUGAUGCAUGUUUGCUGGCACCGAUUCAAUAUUCGACUUCCACAGCAUGGAUCUUUGAAAAAUACUGUCAUGUAAUUUUCACUGGCUGCCAAAUCCACCCCAAAUAACUUUUUUACCCCAGGGAGCUGGAGAAGAUGGGAAUUGCCACUUGUGGGAUGAGCCCACAGAAAACAUCCUCCCGCAAGGUAGAGCUGUUGCAGCCCCUAGUUCUAAUGCAAUGUCCUCCCACUGUUCCUAUCAAGUCUCCAUAUUUUUGCUGAAUAAAUGCUUCUCGGUUUGUUGUAAUCCCUUUGAUCACUCUCCAGAGACUUUGAAUGGUUUUCUUUGCUAAUUUUGACCAGCUUGGUGGAUACCUCUUCAGGAGAGAGGUUUCCCCAAACUCCUCCACCACUGCUCCAGAAAUCCCCAGAAGUUCUUGACAUUUCGUGAGGGCAAAACUUAGAGCACAAGGCAUCAGUGGCUUCCUUCUCUUACCAGUUGUAUAACCUUGAGCAAGUCUUUUAACCUCUGUGAACAGUUUCUCAUCUGUAACAUAAGGAUAAUCAUAGUGCCCACAAUUGUUGGGAGGAUUUGUUGAGUUAAUCCUUGUUAUGCACCUAGUCUAGUGCCAAGUUAUCAUUAUUACUAUUGUCAUUAUUUUUAAUAAUCCACGAGUUUAUAACUUCAGAGUGUUGGAAUCAUAACCAGUUCACACAAUACUUUUGUACAAGUUAUAAAAGGCAUUUUUCCUCAGGACAAUUUAUUAUUUGUCUUUCAAAGUAAUUAUAAUAAUAUAAUGAUUUUGUUAGAAUAAGACAAUUUUCUAUCAAAUUCCAUAAAAUUAUUGAAAUAAAUAUACAAAUCCAUAGUAUCUACAAUGUUAACACCUCCCUUUAAGGUUGGAAUGUGCACAGUCUUGUGGUAUGUGGCAGUUUUGUGUGACAAUAUAUGACCUUGCAGAGUGCACUAAAAUCAUUCUUCUUUCCAACAAGAAAAAAAUAAAGGAAAUUAUUGAUCUAGA